CGUAGGGACCGAGCGUUAUCCGGAUUCAUUGGGCGUAAAGAGCUCGUAGGCGGCUAUCCAAGUCGAACGUGAAAUCUCGGAGCUCAACUCCGAGCCUGCGUUCGAUACUGUAUGGCUAGAGUCUGGUAGGGGGAUCUGGAAUUCCUGGUGUAGCGGCGGAAUGCGCAGAUAUCAGGAGGAACACCGGUGGCGAAGGCGGGAUCCUGGGCCAGUACUGACGCUGAGGAGCGAAAGCGUGGGGAGCAAACAGGAUUAGAUACCCUGGUAGUCCACGCCGUAAACGAUGGGCGCUAGGUGUGGGAGGUCAUCGACUCCUUCCGUGCCGCAGCUAACGCAUUAAGCGCCCCGCCUGGGGAGUACGGCCGCAAGGCUA
rnacentral:rRNA from 1 species